GACGAACGCUGGCGGCGUGCCUAACACAUGCAAGUCGAACGGUCCGGCACUCAACCGACCCUCAGUCUAGCUGUAGGUGAAGUUGAGUGCCGGAUAGUGGCGGACGGGUGAGUAACGCGUGGGCAACCAACCCUGUACAGUGGGAUAACACCGGGAAACCGGUGCUAAUACCGCAUGACACCUAGAUGGUGCAUACUGUUUAGGUUAAAGGAUUUAACCGGUACAGGACGGGCCCGCGUCCCAUUAGCUGGUUGGUGAGGUAACGGCUCACCAAGGCGACGAUGGGUAGCCGACCUGAGAGGGUGACCGGCCACACUGGGACUGAGACACGGCCCAGACUCCUACGGGAGGCAGCAGUGGGGAAUAUUGCGCAAUGGACGGAAGUCUGACGCAGCGACGCCGCGUGAGCGACGAAGGCCUUCGGGUCGUAAAGCUCUGUUCUUGGGGACGAAUAAAAUGACGGUACCCAAGGAGAAAGCCCCGGCUAACUACGUGCCAGCAGCCGCGGUAAAAUCACGUGUAC
rnacentral:rRNA from 1 species